rnacentral:lncRNA from 1 species
GCACUUUUUAAACAGAACAAUUUCAUAAUUAUAUACAUUAAGAUGUCAAAUAAUCAUCUGUCCCUGGAAGAAACAUGCAUCAUGAAAACAACAGUUCAGUUGGUUUGUCAUCACAGCCCACUUUUACAAACUCAAAUUUAACAUUAGAUUUCAUCAAAAUAUUGAAUAUAAAAAGAAUUUCUCAUAUUCCAAGUUAGCAUAUGUCCUAAUCUUAAUGAUUGAAAAAUAGGGUUUCCACUCCAUAAAGAGAACACAGGGGACGAUCAAUAAAUUUACCAACCCUGUACUGACCGUAAAUGACAAAAUUCACUUCAGCUGACGUGUACAUUUUCUACUUAUCAUAAGAAACAUAUAAAAAAUUUCAUAAAGACAACAAUUUUUAAGUAUUGGUAUAUUUAUAACUGCACAUUCAGAAAUAUUUUGUCCAGCAAAAUCCUGAAAAUAUGCCAUAUAUUGACAAAAUUUCCAUACUCAACAUACUCAAUAGAUAUUGGAAUUUGGAUAUACUGAAAAUAACACCAAACAUCAACCAGGAAAUAACUUCCUGGCAGAUCUGUACAUGGUUUAAUACAAUAUACAACUCAUUAUAAAGUUAACAACUAAAUCAUAUUAAUCCUGAAGAAGCUUAUUAAGGUGGCUCGGGCGUAUUCGAAGUUUCUAUCAGAAGUGCCGUAUUUUUGGUUAUUUUAUUCUUUAAAGAAAAUGAAUCAAAUUGAU